AAGGGCAAGCAUCGAAUACAGUUCUCUGACAUAUAAUAGGCAUGUGGCAAUCAACACCAGGAGCUACUCCAAGUCAUAAGCGGCUUCCAUGGUGCUGCAGAGGCUGCCUCCAGAAAGCACAGAACCAGAAAAUAACAACUCCAUUGUUGGAGCAAAUGUUGAGACACUGAAAUUUCUGAUCACCAAUUACAAUGCGUGGAGGAGUUUUUCCCCAUAACAUCAUCAAGCCAUGCUCAGGACACCAGGCCCAGCCAUAGCACCACAAACCUACCCAUACCUCCUGUUCCAAACACUCAGGUUCUUCAGCCCCUGAGUGAAUGCUGAGCCACCCCAGCCCAGAUUUUCCGGCCUGUCACAUCUACUGGUUUUUGAAUCUUAGUUCUCACAUUGACACCGAAGUCUUUGGGAAAAAAGCCAUGAACUGGGGCCAUCGGGGACUACCCUGCCAGCCCUGGAAAUACCAGAAGUUAAGGUAAGUGUCUCUUAGGGUUUUAGAGAUGCAAGUUUAUCAAAGGAAAUCCUGCUUCUUGCUGUGGGGAGUCAUGCAGGGAAACCUCUUGCCCAAGAAGUGACUCAGUCAGGAAAUGUCAAUAAUUUCAAGAGUUGUAGAUACAUUCUCAGAUGAUAGGCUCACCCGGAUCCAUGAGGCAAUAUUUGAAGGCUAGGGAGAGUCCUAAUCUUUAAGAGGAGGACCGCUCUGCAAACUGUUGUCGAUGCACAAGGAGAUUAGUACAGAAACUGACCAUAAGCUUCUAGAAAAUUUUAUAGUAAAUGAUACAGCUGUGAUAUCAAAGUACACGAUCAUUUCCCCAGGAAUGCAUUUUUAUCGUAUUUUAUAAAAGUAUUGGUUCACAGCAGAGGUUUUAAAAAUCGGGUCUUUAUCACAGACAAGUUGAGAAGCACAGGUACAGAGAGCUACGAGACCCACCUCUCAGAGGUUGAGCCCUGUCAGAAGGAACACAAAGGUGAUUUGUCCUCUGUGUCUGGGGUGGAGAGGGGUAGGAAGAGUUAGCAAGGAUCCUUCUAGUUUUAUAAUCCAAACCUUAAGAGUUUACUUGGCUGGAGGCCAGCUUCGGAUUCAUGGCAAACUGAUUCUUGGCAAGUGGUAGCCCUCAUUACGUCCCUUUCAUUUCAGCAGGGAGAAAAAAGCAAAAGCACCCUUCUAUAGGGUGUUUGGGAAGGAGGCACCAGCCAUUGUUACUACUAUUUAUUGAGUGGCGGAGCCAGCAUUGGAAUCCCACCUGCCUCUGGGCCUUUGCACAUGUUGUUCCUCCUGCCUGGCCUUCCUCAGCUAUCUACCAUCACAGUGAUAACUGUUUCACUUCCUUCAAGUGAAGCUCAUGUAUUUAUCCCUCCAGGUGCCUGUCCUGCUUCUCCCCUCCACUCACUCAAGUUCUUUAUUGCUCCCUACGCUUCUCUUUCAUGGCAAUACUAACAGAACUAACUGUGCAAUCAAUUGUUUAAUUUCUACCUUUUCAAAAAUUGUGAG